rnacentral:tRNA from 1 species
AGUACCAUGAUUUAAUUGGAAAAAUACACCGAAAACCCGUUAUACAGGUUCGAAUCCUGUUGGUACUC